rnacentral:rRNA from 1 species
GGAAUCUUGCACAAUGGAGGAAACUCUGAUCCAGCAAUGCCGCGUGAGUGAAGAAGGCCUUUGGGUUGUAAAGCUCUUUUGUAGGGGAAGAUAAUGACUGUACCCUAAGAAUAAGGUCCGGCUAACUUCGUGCCAGCAGCCGCGGUAAUACGAAGGGACCUAGCGUAGUUCGGAAUUACUGGGCGUAAAGCGCGCGUAGGCCGUUGAGUUAGUUAAUUGUGAAAUCCCAAAGCUUAACUUUGGAACUGCAAUUAAAACUGCUCGACUAGAGUUUGAUAGAGGAAAGCGGAAUACAUAGUGUAGAGGUGAAAUUCGUAGAUAUUAUGUAGAACACCAGUUGCGAAGGCGGCUUUCUGGAUCAACACUGACGCUGAGGCGCGAAAGUAUGGGUAGCAAAGAGGAUUAGAUACCCUCGUAGUCCAUACCAUAAACGAUGAUUGCUAGAUGUUGGAAAUUUAUUUUCAGUAUCGCAGCUAACGCAUUAAGCAAUCCGCCUGGGGAGUACGACCGCAAGGUUAAAACUCAAAUGAAUUGACGG